AGCAGCCGCGGUAAUUCCAGCUCCAAUAGCGUAUAUUAAAGUUGUUGCAGUUAAAAAGCUCGUAGUUGAAUUUCGGGAUCAAUAUAUCGGUCGUGCCUUGGUACGUACUGGUAUCAUUGGUUUCUCCUUUCUGACGAACCAUGAUGUCAUUAAUUUGGUGUUAUGGGAAGUUAGGACUGUUACUUUGAAAAAAUUAGAGUGUUUAAAGCAGGCUUUAGCUUGAAUACAUUAGCAUGGAAUAAUGAAAUAGGACGUUCGAACCUAUUUUGUUGGUUUCCAGGAUCAACGUAAUGAUUAAUAGGGAUAGUUGGGGGCAUUAGUAUUCAAUUGUCAGAGGUGAAAUUCUUGGAUUUAUUGAAGACUAACUACUGCGAAAGCAUUUGCCAAGGAUGUUUUCAUUAAUCAAGAACGAAAGUUAGGGGAUCGAAGACGAUCAGAUACCGUCGUAGUCUUAACCAUAAACUAUGCCGACUAGGGAUCGGAUGAUGUUAAUUUUUUAAUGACUCA
rnacentral:rRNA from 1 species